rnacentral:rRNA from 1 species
AUUGAACGCUGGCGGCAUGCCUUACACAUGCAAGUCGAACGGCAGCAUGAUCUAGCUUGCUAGAUUGAUGGCGAGUGGCGAACGGGUGAGUAAUACAUCGGAACGUGCCCUGUAGUGGGGGAUAACUAGUCGAAAGAUUAGCUAAUACCGCAUACGACCUGAGGGUGAAAGUGGGGGACCGCAAGGCCUCAUGCUAUAGGAGCGGCCGAUGUCUGAUUAGCUAGUUGGCGAGGUAAAGGCUCACCAAGGCGACGAUCAGUAGCUGGUCUGAGAGGACGAUCCGCCACACUGGGACUGAGACACGGCACAGACUCCUACGGGGUGGCGCAGUGGGGAAUUUUGGACAAUGGGGGCAACCCUGAUCCAGCAAUGCCGCGUGUGUGAAGAAGGCCUUCGGGUUGUAAAGCACUUUUGUCCGGAAAGAAAUCGCACUUACUAAUAUUAGGUGUGGAUGACGGUACCGGAAGAAUAAGGACCGGCUAACUACGUGCCAGCCGCCGCGGUAACAC